rnacentral:pre_miRNA from 10 species
GUGUGUAUACAUGUAUAUACACAUGUGUGUGUAUAUAUGUAUAUACACAUGUGUGUAUAUAUGUAUAUACAAU